GGAAGAGCAGACAGUAUUGCUGAGCCAUCUCUCCAGCCCUUGUUUUCACCUCUUUUAUUCAGCAGUGUAUUGGAAAUUAUAGGAGAGUAAAGAAGGAAAACUACCCUUACUUGUAGACAUUUUGGCCUUUUCUUUAGAAAUGCUUAAGGGAUUCACCCUAAAACUAUUGGAUCUAAGGGCUGGAGAGAUGGCUCAAUAGUGAAGAACACAUCCUGCUCUUGCAGAAAACUCAAGUUCAGUUCCCCACACCCAGAUCUAAUGGCUUACAACUACUUUUAGUUCAGCUCCAGGGGAUCAAUAUCCUUUUCUGGACUCUACUGACAGAUCCACUCAUGUGUACUGCCUCCACCUCCACCCCUACACAAGGUGAAUGAACUUCAUACAAGGUAAAAUAAAGUCAUGUGUAGAAGGUUAUAUUAACAUUAACAUGGACAAGCCAGAAUAGGUCAGUCCACAGAGGCAGAAAGAAGGGUAAUAGUUGCCAUAAGCUGUGGAAAACAAAACAAGGAGUAACUGCUUAGUAUAUGUGGGUAGAAGAGGAAAGGAAUGACUACUGUUUCCUUCAGGCAUGCGGCAGUGAUCUGGACCUAAUGGUUGUACAUAGUAAGUAUAUUGAGGCUCACUGCUAGGAGACUGUUUUAAACAGUUAGUUUUAUGUCGUGGGGAGUUACUGUAAUAUUUUUAAGUACUCAAACAGUAAGAAGUCAUAUAACUUAGUUUUUCUUGACUAUUAGAAUGGAGGCAGUGACUAGAAUACAGUGGCUGCUCUUAUGUUCUGCUCACUCUUUCUGAGUGGAGUAAGUUUGUUCUUAUAGCAUGGCAUAAUGCUCAGCACUAAGGACAUGAAGAUGGCAGUAAGGGUAUUAAGUAUAUAUCAGGAGAGUAGUUAAUAAGCUGGAGGAAUCAUGUUCUCAUGCCUGAAAGCAUCUUCUGAGUUUCUUUUUCACCACCCUUCCCCAAUAAAGUCACUUCCCCUUUCUUGUUUCACAUUGAUGUGAUACUUUUCAUUUCAGCUACCAGAAAUUUCAGACCCAUGUUCUGCCACUUAUAACUUCACUUUGUUUGUAAUAAGAUCACCAAAACAGUGAUUUAGGUUAGGGCUGCUGAAUCUCAAAAUUUCAGUGAUGGACCCAUGCUCUGUCCCUAACUUUUGUCCUCUUGAUGGAUUACUUACUCACAUUUUGGAUGGCUAGACAUUAGGAAACCUAACAUAUGUAUUCAUUAAUAGACUCCAAUUCUUAACGGGAGUGAAUAAUUAUUAUGGGCCAAAUAGAACAAGUUACAUUUUUUUAUCAGAGAAUCCAAGAUACAUGGGACAUAUCUUGGGUCUUGUACUUUUGUCCAAGAAACAUAAACUGAACAAAUCUGACAUAAGGGGACAACGUAGCACAUGGAACAGAGUGGAGCUGAACCACCUCUUUCAUCCUUCAGUUCACGUGGUGGGUAGUAUGUCCGCUAAUGCAUUGAGGCAACGUGCUCUGUGCCAUUUUGUAAGAAACUUAACAAAGUGAAAGAGAGUCUAGAGGACCAUGUCAGGGAUGAGGAGGAAGGACACCCCCCUCCCUUGUCUAUUUCAUGAAACAAAUGAAGAAAGCAAAAGGGAUUAGUCUUAUAAAUGUGGGAGCUCUUCAAAUGGUAAGAGUAUCCAAAAAGAAAAAAAGAAUCAGCUGACUAUGUGAUCAUGAAAGCUUUCAAGCAAAGCCCAGGCGACCACUUUCAAGAGCAUCCUUAUAAUUAAAAGAUACCAUAGUCACCAAAAUGUAUUUCAAUCCUGAGAUUAAUGUGUCUACGUAAUUACUAAAAAGUAGACAAGGGAGCUGGGUAUAGUGGCACAUGGUUUUAAUUCUAGCACUCAGGAGACAGGGCAUGUGGAUCUCUGAGCUUUAGGACAGCCAGGGCUACACAAAGAAACUGUCUCAACAAAGCAAAUACAACAAAAGGCAGGCAAGAGAAGGGUGAAGAAAAAGAAUAGAGUUUAAAACCAGUGGCCUAGUUGAAUUUAAAAAGUACUUUCUGAUUACUUCUAAAUUUUAAGGCAUUGAUAAAGGUCCUUUCUGUCAAUAAUUCAGAAGUGAUGAGCUUGGUCUUUAGCAGCAAGAUGACAUGUUUCCUUGUCCUUGUUUUAUAGUCUGGUCUCCUGAGACAAGAUUUAGGACUUGGGAGCCCAGCACAGCUGUCUUCUUCAGGAAAACCUGGAACACCAUACUACUCAUUCUCUGCCACAAGUUCUAGGAGAAGACCGCUCCAUGACUCUGUAGCCCUAGAUCCUUUGCAAGCAAAGAAAGUAAGAAAGGUGCCUCCUGGCCUGCCUUCUUCUAGAGUGGUUGCAGGAUCACUGAUUAGGCCAGUAGCUGUUCAACAGACCUCAAAGGUGGGGUUAAGGGAUGAAUGAUUCUUGUUUUCUUUGUUGUAAACAUUUGGGAAUAUAGAGGUAUUGGGACUGGGGGACAGCCUCUUCAGCACUCAGAAAUUACCUUUUUUGUUUUUUGUUAAUGAAAGUAGCACAUACUACAAAAAUUGGUCAAAUAUGAAAUCUGGAAUUUGGGUGUCUUAUUUGGUAUCUGACUUAGCAGUAUUGCCCCAAGUUCUGCAAGUUUAGGAGACUGGGUCUCAUGAAUUAUUUCUUUUCAGGCUAAAUUGGGAGGGGAAAGUGUCUUUCAUUUCUAUUUACAUUUGCAAAUCCCAUUCCUCCCUUGUUUUUGAGACAAGGUCAGGCUGACCUCAAACUCACAGCAAUCCUAUGGUCUCAGCCUCCUGAAUACUGACUGGGAUUAUUGGUAUAUGCCAUCACACUUAAUGUUUGUUUGUUUGUUUGUUUGUUUUUAGAAACAGGGUUUCUCUGUGGCUUUAGAGGCUGUCCUG